GACGAACGCUGGCGGCGUGCCUAAUACAUGCAAGUCGAGCGCUGAAGCUUGGUUCUUGUACCAACUGCAUGUGCCGCGCACGUGUGUGUCACGCGUGUGGACUCUGCCUUUCUUCGGGGGACCACCUUUGGACACGAAUGCUAAUACCGCAUAAAAUCUUUAUACACAGGUUUUAAGUUUGAAAGAUGCCAUUGCAUCACUCACAGAUGGUCCCGCGUUGUAUUAGGUAGUUGGUGAGGUAAAGGCUCACCAAGGCGUUGAUACGUAGCAGACCGGAGAGGGUGAGCGGCCAGAUUGGGAGUGAGACACGGCACAAACGGCUACGGGAGGCAGCAGUAGGGAAACUUCGGGCAGGGGCGAAAGACGGACCGAGCAACGCCGCGUGAGUGAAGAAGGUUGUCGGGUCGGGAAACUCUGUUGGUAGAGAAGAAAGUGGGUGAGAGUGGAAAGAUCAUCAAGUGACGGUAACGAGUAAGAAAGGGACGGCUAACUACGUG
rnacentral:rRNA from 1 species